GUUGACUCGUCGGUUAAGCCCAGUCCCCCCAGCACCGCGCCACGGGGGGCGACACACAUGAGAGGAGGAAUAAGGAGGGGAGGAACAAGUGCUCGUUGGGCACGUGUGUGCCAGGCAUGGUACCCGUGUUGUUGCAUAUCACGUUGACAACAACCUUGUAAGUUCAGUGUGCCCGUUCUUGUGUUAGAGAUGAGGAUGCUGAGAACCUGAGCCGUCGAGUGAUGUGCUUUACCUUAUGCUAUCCUGUGGCCGAGGAGGGAUUUGAUCCCAGGUCUGUCCAGAUUAAUUGCUUCAUGGUCCCAGGAUAGCUGCCAUAGAAACAAGAACCGCAUCCUCAUGUAACUUCGCUGAAAACAGAAAGAAGGCAGGGAAGCCAGGGUGGUGUGAUAGAGCUUUCGUUUUUCGUCUCCUUUCUCCUAUCAGAGCUGCUGAUUCUGACCCAGAUCUGCCCUCCCCGAAGCCUCAGCUGCUGACACUAGCUCUGAGGAGCUGGACCGUGAGCUCUGCCAGGAUGAAGAUGCUCAUCUCCACAGCUCUCCCCACACUCUAAACAAGCAGUUCCCGGGGAGGAGAACAACGCACACAGUAGUAACAAGUCUAGUAAUUAGCAGUAGCCCUGGGGCCUUGCAACACUUCUAAAAGGACAAGGUGAUUCAGGAAGAUGUGUCACUGCCCCUGCGAGUUUCCCAGAUGGAGAGACAGGCGGGGAUCUCCAGUGCUAAUGACGCGGAGGCCUCUAACCUGCAGUUGUUAGAGCGCGUGGGUGAGGAGAUUUGGGACAAAAGCAAAACAGCUGGACAUGGAGUCUGCAUGUCUGUUGUUGAUGGAAGAGCCUGUUUUUAUACAUGGUCUUGGCACAUUGUGCUACUCUAAAGGGCAGGCAGAGAAUCCAUAAAACUGUGGUGGUGCAAUCCUGUCAAAAUAAACAUGCAAAGUGUGAAGACACUAUGCAAAGCCCGAGCCUUGCCCCGUCUCCUCAGUCCAUAAUCCAGAGGCUCAGGAAUUGGAUGAACACUCAUUUUUUGCAUAUUAAUUGGUAAAUAAAAGGUUGAAAGUUUAAUAACGCAUUUAUCAUACUGAAUCAAAAUGCCCUAAAUUACUGUAAUAAUUAUUUUCUCCAAUGGAGAGUGGAAGAAUACAAGAAGAUCAGUGAAGAAAGCGUUUCUGCAUCUCCCCUGGGAGUUAGGGAGCAGCUCCCAGAGGAGCUACCUCUUGGAGUGAAGACUGAGUAGGAACUUGCCAGUCUUAUGGAGGUAACAGAGGUAGCGGAGAUGUCAAGGCUUUCAUGUGGGGUACUCCAGAUGGAGGAAAAACACCGAAAGGGCAGAAAGUUGUAAAAUGCAAUGAGCAUCUGAUAGUUUGUUUACUCAGCACUUCUCUCCCCUUCUUCGGAAAAAAGUCCCAUUUUCUUCUUCUGGAGGUGGUCUUUCACACUUAAUUAUAUGGUUGGAUAGGAGCCAGCAUUCGGCUCUCGCCUGUGGAAACAAGUGACUGGUCUGGGAGUAUGCGUGUGUCGGGACCCAUCAAAAUCUUCCCUGAGAUUUUUUAAGCUGCAGCCGGGAGAAAGAUUUCGGUCGGCUCCCAAGGUGCCGAGCUGCGUGGUGAGGUGCAGGAUUUGUCAAUGGCUCUGACCCUGUCGUGUGGAAAUACUCUUGACUGCAGGAGACAGAAGCCCAGUUCAAAUUAGCUUAGAUCACAGUGACAUUUAUUGUAAAAUUUACAUAAGCGUAGUCUCUCUCUGUCUCUCAUUUCUCUGUCUACCUUUACAAAAGCUCCUUCCAGAUGGUGGAACUCAGGAUCAGCAAUGACUUCCAUAUCUUACUUCUCAUUGGGGUUGUGGGGAGUGUGGGAGACAGAAAAAAAAAAUGAAAUAAAUAAGAAAGUCUUACAGACCGUUAGAACAGUGUUUCUCAAAUGUUGACGUACCUGUCAGUUGGCCGGAGAGCUCCUAUCCUGCAGACCUUAACGCUUUAGGUCUGGAAUGGUCCCUAAGAUUUGCAUUUCUAAUAAGCUGCCAAGUGAUGUUGAUGGUGCUGGUUUAAAGACCACACUUUGAAUAACACAAUGUUCAAAGAUAAUGUUUAAGAAUUGAGGAAAUAUGAAAAGCUGGUGCAGUAUAUGGUGGUUUGGGAAUGGGGUAGAAGUGAGCUAUAAUUUUCAGUAGGGUAAUUAGGAGAGGCCCAUGGAGGUGGCAUUUGAACAGACUUGAAAGAGUUAAU
rnacentral:lncRNA from 1 species